rnacentral:rRNA from 1 species
UGGGAAUCUGCCCAGUCGUGGGGGGAUAACGUAGGGAAACUUACGCUAAUACCGCAUGCGCCCUAUGGGGGAAAGCCGGGGACCUUCGGGCCUGGCGCGAUUGGAUGAGCCCAUGUCGGAUUAGCUAGUUGGCGGGGUAAAGGCCCACCAAGGCGACGAUCCGUAGCUGGUCUGAGAGGAUGAUCAGCCACACUGGAACUGAGACACGGUCCAGACUCCUACGGGAGGCAGCAGUAGGGAAUAUUGGACAAUGGGCGCAAGCCUGAUCCAGCCAUGCCGCGUGAGUGAAGAAGGCCCUCGGGUUGUAAAGCUCUUUUGUCCGGAAAGAAAAGCGCCGGGUUAAUACCCUGGUGUCCUGACGGUACCGGAAGAAUAAGCACCGGCUAACUUCGUGCCAGCAGCCGCGGUAAUACGAAGGGUGCAAGCGUUACUCGGAAUUACUGGGCGUAAAGCGUGCGUAGGUGGUUCGUUAAGUCUGAUGUGAAAGCCCUGGGCUCAACCUGGGAAUUGCAUUGGAUACUGGCGGGCUAGAGUGCGGUAGAGGAUAGUGGAAUUCCCGGUGUAGCAGUGAAAUGCGUAGAGAUCGGGAGGAACAUCUGUGGCGAAGGCGACUAUCUGGACCAGCACUGAC